ACGUGGGUGAUCUGCCUUGCACUUCGGGAUAAGCCUGGGAAACUGGGUCUAAUACCGGAUAGGACCAUGCUUUAGUGUGUGUGGUGGAAAGUUUUCGGUGCAAGAUGAGCCCGCGGCCUAUCAGCUUGUUGGUGGGGUAAUGGCCUACCAAGGCGACGACGGGUAGCCGGCCUGAGAGGGUGGACGGCCACAUUGGGACUGAGACACGGCCCAG
rnacentral:rRNA from 1 species